rnacentral:rRNA from 1 species
AUUGAACGCUGGCGGCAUGCUUUACACAUGCAAGUCGAACGGUAACAGGUUAAGCUGACGAGUGGCGAACGGGUGAGUAAUGCAUCGGAACGUGCCCGAUCGUGGGGGAUAACGCAGCGAAAGCUGCGCUAAUACCGCAUACGAUCUGAGGAUGAAAGCGGGGGACCGUAAGGCCUCGCGCGAUCGGAGCGGCCGAUGUCAGAUUAGGUAGUUGGGGGGGUAAAGGCUCACCAAGCCAACGAUCUGUAGCUGGUCUGAGAGGACGACCAGCCACUCAGGGACUAAGACCAGGCCAAGAUUCCUGCGGGACGCAUCAGUGGGGAAUUUUGGACAAUGGGCGAAAGCCGGAUCCAGCAAUGCCGCGUGCAGGAAGAAGGCCUUCGGGUUGUAAACUGCUUUUGUACGGAGCGAAAAGGUCUCCUCUAAUACAGGGGGCUCAUGACGGUACCGUAAGCAUAAGCGCCGGCUAACUACGUGCCAGCAGCCGCCGUAA